GUGAACGCUGGCGGUAGGCCUAACACAUGCAAGUCGAACGGCAGCACAGUAGGAGCUUGCUCUUACGGGUGGCGAGUGGCGGACGGGUGAGGAAUACAUCGGAAUCUACUUUUUCGUGGGGGAUAACGUAGGGAAACUUACGCUAAUACCGCAUACGACCUACGGGUGAAAGCAGGGGAUCUUCGGACCUUGCGCGAUUGAAUGAGCCGAUGUCGGAUUAGCUAGUUGGCGGGGUAAAGGCCCACCAAGGCGACGAUCCGUAGCUGGUCUGAGAGGAUGAUCAGCCACACUGGAACUGAGACACGGUCCAGACUCCUACGGGAGGCAGCAGUGGGGAAUAUUGGACAAUGGGCGCAAGCCUGAUCCAGCCAUACCGCGUGGGUGAAGAAGGCCUUCGGGUUGUAAAGCCCUUUUGUUGGGAAAGAAAAGCAGCAGGUUAAUACCCCGCUGUUCUGACGGUACCCAAAGAAUAAGCACCGGCUAACUUCGU
rnacentral:rRNA from 1 species